AAUCAACGCUGGCGGCGUGCCUCAGACAUGCAAGUCGAACGAUUAAAGCUCUCUUCGGAGAGUGCAUAGAGUGGCGCACGGGUGAGUAACACGUAAGUAAUCUACCUUCGAGUGGGGAAUAACAUCGGGAAACCGAUGCUAAUACCGCAUAAUGCAGCGGCAUCGCAAGAUGACAGUUGUUAAAGGAGCAAUUCGCUUGAAGAGGAGCUUGCGGCAGAUUAGCUAGUUGGUAAGGUAACGGCUUACCAAGGCUACGAUCUGUAUCCGGUCUAAGAGGACGGUCGGACACACUGACACUGAAUAACGGGUCAGACUCCUACGGGAGGCAGCAGUCGGGAAUUUUGGG
rnacentral:rRNA from 1 species